GGCGGGCAGAGGGGGCGCCCUGCGGCAGGGAGGUGCGCUGCUCGGCCUGUCUCUGUCGCUCCGCCGUUGCCAUGGCAGCGCUGGGCGGGAGGCGCGGGACGUCUGUGGUGCCGUUGGAGGCGGCGGGUGCUGAUCGUGAGGGCGCGUUCGCGGAGCUUCAGCUUUACUCGGUCAGGUGAAUAAGCCGACGCAGCCGCCUGGCGCAGCUUCACAUCAGCAUGAAGGAGUUUGGAAGCGUACUUGUGACUUUCAGAGCCUGACAUCUCCUUGGAGCACUGCUUCAGAGUCAUUCCUGUCACUCAGAGGGAACCCACCGCUGCACCCACUCACACACCCAGCUCCCUCCAGACCGAAUGUGCAGAGUCAUUGCAGGGCACUCGGCUCCCUGGCAAGUGGGACAGUUCCCUGCUGCUCAAUGAACUGACUGUGACCAUAAAUUCUGCCUUUGCACGCUGGGUUGCUAUUUAAAGUCACAGUAUCACUCAUCAGGGAAAUUACUUUCCAAAAUGUGCCCCUCUCUAUAGAGGAGAAAAAGCUGGGGAUGGUGCUGAAGCAUCUGUGUUGCAGACACUGAGCUGCCUUUUCAUGGCAUUGAAGAUCACACCUACCAAGCCUCAAAACAAAUUAGUUUUCAUUGGGUCUGCUACUGUAGAAAUGCAUUGGAAGGAGUAACGUGUCCCAAAAUUUUGUCAUCUAAAUGGAAGUCCAGCCACAGUUCCCAUUGAAAGAAAAAUUAAAAAUAGACUUUAUUGUUACAAGGCUCUUAAAUGAGCUUAAUUUCUGAUCUUAACUGUAGAUAUCAGCAGGAGGAAGUACUGGCUAGCUACAGAUAAAAUACUUAAAGCAGAAAAAGCCAGUAUUCCCAUUUAGAAAAUUCUGUAACACAGUGGAUAUUGGGCACUUGCCAUUUUCAAUACACUUUUCUAUUUUUUAAUGCUGCCAAUCCAUUCUGUGUGGAUCUUGGGGCUCACCCCUUUCCCCGAAGCAGCAGGGCUGGUGCAGUAUUGCUAUGGGGAAGUUUUGUCCUCACAGCACCUCUGUAAGCAUGAGCAGUGGGGCUGCUCCAGCCUAUAGCACGGUGCCAUAUUUUUAGAUCCUCAGCUCACAUUUCAGUGAACAUGAAGUAUCUUUGUGUGUCAACAGACCCAAAAUGUCUCCCAGUGGAGCGUGAAGCAUGUCGACGUAGCAGGGACGUAAUCUGGGCAGUUCGUGGAAGCUUACAUCAUUAAGUCUAUCACUGGAAUGUGUUUGAUAUACAGCAAAUUCAGAUGUUUUUCUUUCCUGGGAACUCUGCCAGCAAGCCAUAGCAUGCGAGGGAGCCAGGAUGGCAAGGAGGGAAGGGCCGGUGCCUGGGCAAGACAUGAAUUAGGGAACUUUCAGUUCAGCUUGUUGAAGGUCUUCAUAGAGAAAUAGGGGCUGAACUUGUGCCUAGCCACUGUCCUUCAUCUGUCAGUGGGGAGCCCAUGGGGCCAAGCCCUGGCUUUGUGGGAAGCCCAAGCACAGGAGCUAUGGAAGAAGACAGAAUGGCAGAGCCCACACACAGACUGUCACGUUUUUGUAUGCUCAGGGAUUGGGAAGCUCCUGGAGGUGCCCUGCUGGGGAGUGCUGCAGGUUCCAAUUAUUGGGGAACCAUUGCACAGAAUCCCAUCUACACUUUUGUAUGUGUCAUCUUUAAAGCCAUUUUCUUCCUCGCACCUCUCUGUAGAAGGUUUCCCAAAGCUUAAUUGCUCCACUUAAUCCAAGAUCCCCAUAAUUUCUGAGUUAAAUUUGCCAGUGAUCUGUCUGUCCAUUUGCUACUGUCAGCUGUUCUUUAAAUUAGUAAUUUUCCAUCUCCAGUAUAUUGAUGGGCAGUGAUUGCACCGCCUCUUGUGUUCAUUCUACAGCAUAAGGUCAAUCUCCAUCUGUAAUACUGUAAUACAGCUGCCCUGAUGUACGCAUUUCUAGCAUUUAGGAAUAUAUGCAAAGCUCUGACCUAGCCUUAAUUAUACAACUGUGGUAUCUGCAUAGCAGGCAACAUCUGGGAGCAAAUAAUUGCCUCAGGAAAGACUUGUGUAUUCCUUAGACUUACAUGGUGUUUGUUGCUAUAAUGCCCACCACUUUCCAUUAUUAUUUGUGUCCAUUUUUUGUCUUUUUUCUUAUUUGCUUCUGUUAUGCUUCUCUGGGACAUUUUCAGUUGAUUGCUUGAGGUUUGGUGGGCAGUUACCUAGCUCUGAUACUUCAAUACCCACAAUAGCUUAAUUAGUAAGCACAUGAAAUCUAAUUAUCUGUUAAGCUUGAAGGAAAACUAUGGAAAUCCUUAUAAAAGGGAAAAUUAUCUUGUCAGCAUCUAUUUCACUGCAAAUUCUUGGGAUAACUGCACUAGGGAAAAUGGUCCCAGAGUACCUUUUCAUAGGACAGAGAGCUAGGAUUUUCUGAGAACUGCAUUGCAUGCAGUAUGAUUCAUAUGAGAGUUCACGGCAACACGAUACUGCAGCUACCCUCCGUUCAGGAGAUUGCAAAGCCCAUUUGUAUCUGAAUAUCCCAGAAUAGCACUAUGAACCAUACGUUAGAUGACAUGCAAUGACUAUUUACAGCAGACCAAAGAAUAGCCUGUGACAGAUAUCAGCUAGAGCUUAUUUUAAGCCCAUAUGCAUUUUCCUGAUUAGCUUUUGUUAAUGAAUUGCAAGAUAUGCCACUGUAAACAAAGUCUGAAAACCCUGGAUUUACACCCGGAUAGUGUGUAGUGGCAGAUCUGCAGUUUGUGAGCAUUCUGCUUAGCACAGAGAUAACAGAAAAGAGGAGGGUGUUUAAUCUGCCAGGCAAGGGUUUAUCUGUGAAGUUCCCAAGAGAAAGUUGUUCACCUGGCUAUGAAACUUUAAUGUUUUUGUUGUUUUGUUAACCGUAUCUUCAAAAGACUAAGGAUUUCUGAGAUGUUUUGUUCUUAGAAUAAUUGACAUCUGUUUUAGAAGAAUCAGACAGUGUCUUUAACAGCACUUUUUGGCUUAUUCUCUUUUCAGCUCUCCUGAAUUUAAAUCAUGCUUAUCGUUCAAAAGUCAAACACUGAAAAAUUGUAGGAAAAAAUCCAGUGAGGUGUUACCCGUACCCCUGCUUUGCUCUUCCAUCUUGAAGUUGCUCUCCCUACUGCAACAGUCUUCUUCAGGUAAGAAAUGAUAAAGCCUUACUGAAGAAUACAUACUGCAAGAGUUCAGAGUAAGCUGUGUCUUUCAGUCAUGAUUAAACACUGCUUAAUUCUUAGCAGUACUUAUGACAGUGUUUUCACAUUUUUUACAUUUGAAGUCUCAUUUUUUAAAAGAAAAACACUGAGAAAAUAAAGGAGAGUGGGGAGGACCACAGAAUCUUUUUAAUUUCAGACCCAAACAUAAUGGCAGCUCAGAUUUUGGACUGAUACAUGCGUUACCCCCCAGAACACCCUGUGUGGGGCUGUGGAGCUCCCUCACCCCUUGCAUGCCUCAGGCAGCUCUGCUGCUACGGCUGCUCGCUGCUGGCAGCGUCCCAGGACCACAGCCCAGCGGGGUCAGCUGCACGAAGGAGCAGCCGGAGCCGCUCAGCGCCUCGAGGCGCGUGUCCCUCAAUGCCGAUCAAUGCCGACUGCCCGGUGACGCCAGUCUGUCAUUGCCCCAACCCCUGUGCUGGCAGCUUGGCUCGCUUUGAAAAUGAAAGUGAAAAAAAAAGAGGAAACUCAAUGAUAUUCUGGUUCUCGAUUGUACCUCGAGUAUGUGUUGCGUGAUAUUCUCUGCACAGAACGGCAGGCUUGUUUUAUUCAUUGGCCCUUCCCCAUAAGCUCAAGGACGUCGGAGGUUAAACACUUCAUUAUUAUUCUGUCAUUAGCACCAUGAUGCAAUUCCCAGCCCACAUACAGCUGCCAAAGUGGUGUCACUGAGUGUGCUGCAAGGAAUUGCAGGCACUCAGAGCUGUCUUUGGGGCAAGAAUCCUUCCUGGUUUAAAUAUUGAGUUUCUCUACCAUGUGUUUUCUGUAUCAUUAAAACAAAGAGCAAAGAUGUAAAUAAAAGAUUGGGAAUUUGGAAA